GACGAACGCUGGCGGCGUGCUUAACACAUGCAAGUCGAACGGUGAAGCGCCUUCCUUUUUGGUGGGUGUGGAUGAGUGGCGAACGGGUGAGUAACACGUGAGUAACCUGCCCCCUUCUUCUGGAUAACCGCAUGAAAGUGUGGCUAAUACGGGAUAUUCUGGGUCUGUCGCAUGAUGGGUCAGGGAAAGAUAUUGUUUCGGUGGGGGAUGGGCUCGCGGCCUAUCAGCUUGUUGGUGGGGUGAUGGCCUACCAAGGCGGUGACGGGUAGCCGGCCUGGGAGGGUGGACGGCCACACUGGGACUGAGACACGGCCCAGACUCCUACGGGAGGCAGCAGUGGGGAAUAGUGCACAAUGGGCGCAAGCCUGAUGCAGCGACGCCGCGUGAGGGAUGGAGGCCUGCGGGUUGUGAACCUCUUUCGCCAGUGAAGCAGGCCUGCCUAGUUUGUGGGUGGGUUGACGGUAGCUGGAUAAGAAGCGCCGGCUAACUACGUG
rnacentral:rRNA from 1 species